rnacentral:rRNA from 1 species
GGAUAACUACCCUUUAGGACUGGGAUAACCCUGGGAAACUGGGGCUAAUACCGGAUAGGCAAUUUUUCCUGUAAUGGUUCUUUGUUUAAAUGUUUUUUCGCCUAAGGAUGGGUCUGCGGCCGAUUAGGUAGUUGGUUAGGUAAUGGCUUACCAAGCCGUUGAUCGGUACGGGUUGUGAGAGCAAGAGCCCGGAGAUGGAACCUGAGACAAGGUUCCAGGCCCUACGGGGCGCAGCAGGCGCGAAACCUCCACAAUGUGAGAAAUCGCGAUGGGGGGAUCCCAAGUGCCAUUCUUAACGGGAUGGCUUUUCAUUAGUGUAAAAAGCUUUUGGAAUAAGAGCUGGGCAAGACCGGUGCCAGCCGCCGCGGUAACACCGGCAGCUCUAGUGGUAGCAACUUUUAUUGGGCCUAAAGCGUCCGUAGCCGGUUUAAUAAGUCUCUGGUGAAAUCCUGUAGCUUAACUGUGGGAAUUGCUGGAGAUACUAUUAGACUUGAGACCGGGAGAGGUUAGAGGUACUCCCAGGGUAGAGGUGAAAUUCUGUAAUCCUGGGAGGACCGCCUGUUGCGAAGGCGUCUAACUGGAACGGUUCUGACGGUGAGGGACGAAAGUUAGGGGCGCGAACCGGAUUAGAUACCCGGGUAGUCCUAACUGUAAACGAUGCGGACUUGGUGUUGGGGUGGCUUUGAGCUGUUCCAGUGCCGAAGGGAAGCUGUUAAGUCCGCCGCCUGGGAAGUACGGUCGCAAGACUGAAACUUA